AUAGGGCGAAUUAGUAUGUUGCUGUAGACCCGAAACCAAGUGAUCUACCCAUGAGCAGGUUGAAGUUGGGGUAAUACCUAAUGGAGGACCGAACCACCGCACGUUGAAAAGUGCUUGGAUGACUUGUGGGUAGCGGAGAAAUUCCAAUCGAACCCGGAGAUAGCUGGUUCUCUCCGAAAUAGCUUUAGGGCUAGCCUUACAAAUGAGAUUACUGGAGGUAGAGCACUGAUAGUGUGAUGGCCCCAUCCAGGGGUACUGAUCAUUGACAAACUCCGAAUGCCAGAUAAUUGCUUUGUAGGAGUCAGGCUGCGGGUGCUAACGUCCGUAGCCGAGAGGGAAAGAGCCCAGACCACCAGCUAAGGUCCCAAAAUAUAUGUUAAGUGGAAAAGGUUGUUUGUUUGCUAAGACACCCAGGAGGUUGGCUUAGAAGCAGCCACUCCUUUAAAGAGUGCGUAAUAGCUCACUGGUCGAGUGAACAUGCGCCGAAAAUGUAACGGGGCUAAACAUAUUACCGAAGCUGUGGAUUAUACAUUUAUGUAUAGUGGUAGGAGAGCGUUCUAAUCAGCGUUGAAGGUAUACCGUGAGGAGUGCUGGAGCGAUUAGAAGUGAGAAUGCCGGCGUAAGUAACGAAAGGCAGGUGAGAAUCCUGCCCACCGAACAUCGAAGGUUUCCUGGGGAAGGCUCGUCCUCCCAGGGUUAGUCGGGACCUAAGGCGAGGCCGAAUGGCGUAGUCGAUGGACAACGGGUUAAUAUUCCCGUACUAGUUAAUGUUGCGAUGGAGUGACGGAGAAGGAUAGUCAAACCCAGUUAUUGGAUUCUGGGCCAAAUAGUGAGGCUUGUGUGUAGGCAAAUCCGCACACUUUAAGGCUGGGCUAUGAUGGGGAUGCUCGUAAGAGAUAAGUUGAUGUGUUCAUGCUUCCAAGAAAAGCUUCUAAGCUUAAACAUUAGCUACCUGUACCAAAACCGACACAGGUAGAUGGGUUGAGUAUACUAAGGUGAGCGAGAGAACUCUUGUUAAGGAACUCGGCAAAAUGGAUCCGUAACUUCGGGAUAAGGAUCGCUUUUCUAGGUACGCCUAGGAGAGCCGCAGUGAAUAGGCCCAAGCGACUGUUUAUCAAAAACACAGGUCUAUGCUAAACCGUAAGGUGAUGUAUAUGGGCUGACGCCUGCCCGGUGCUGGAAGGUUAAGAGGAGGUGUUAGACUUCGGUCGAAGCUCUGAAUUGAAGCCCCAGUAAACGGCGGCCGUAACUAUAACGGUAAGGUAGCGAAAUUCCUUGUCGGGUAAGUUCCGACCCGCACG
rnacentral:rRNA from 1 species